rnacentral:lncRNA from 1 species
GACCCUAUGAGCAGCAUUUGAUUAAACAUUUUCUCCGGGAUACUGAGUUAUACAAGCAGGGGGGAAAAAACUUUAAGAAGGCUAUAUAUAUUUGUUUGCAGUCUGCUCAGCUUUUCCAGCGCAAAGAAGCCACAGGCAUCACCAAGCAGUUAAAACAGAAAGUUGCAUAGUUUUCUGCCCAGCUAGGAGAAUAAGUGUCCAUAAUCAGGUUUAACGUUUAUCUAAAUAUGGUCUAUAUCUUAAUCUAUAAUUGGCAAACUUCCUUUUUAGUUUUUGAACCAGUGAAUGUGUUUAAGGUGUCAUCAAUACUUUAAACACCUAACUUUGCAAAAUUUUCAAUCAACCCUGUGAGAUUUCACUGUCACUUGCUUACUAGCGAUAUAAAAGAAACAUAUGAUUAACUCAGCCAAGUUUCAUUAUGGACUUGCUUAAAUACCAAAAAAAUAAUUAAGAGUAGGUAGCUGAAUCUCAGGUCUUGGGUGUUUAUUUUAAAAAUGAGGCGGCUAUUAAAGAUGAUUGUGUAAGCUAGAUUUUAAAGGGGAAUUGACCCUAUUCAAUGAAGUUGUGGCUUGCUGAAUUAUUAUUAGUUUCAUCCUUAUGAAAAUUGGAACUAUGAACACAUUAUUUAGAAUAGGGCAGCUCGUCUGACCCUGAUACGACAGGAACUCAAUACACUAAUCCAGUGUUCGGCAAACUAUGUCUUAUUUUGUAUGAAAUCCAUCUGGUUUUUGGUCCUGUUUUGCAGGACAUUCUCAAGAUUGCCUUCUCUUCAAAGUGAAGGAGAUUUCGAAUGCCAAGGACUCGGAGGAGCAGGAUCUGAUCUGAUGACACUUAUCAGAUAUAUUGAUUCUGUGUAGCAGAAGAACCAAAAAUUGGUUUCUACUUUUUAUUACAAGCUGCACAGUGAUUAGCAACAAAGCUCAUCUACUUACUUUACUUCCAGUUUGUAUUCUGAAGCUUAUAACACCAUCUGUACCCGGGCUACAAAUUUAAAUUUCAUUAAGCUAAUUACAUAUUAUGUGGUUGUUUAAGUGUUUUCUUUGGUCAUCUUUAGAAAAGAAUAGUUGGUGA